UGGUGUAGUUCGACCUAUGCAAGAUAUUGAUAUCUAAUCUUAAUUUUAAUUUUUAAUUUUUAGAUUAUAUGCAUAUCUUAGAUCUAGAUAUAGAUAGUAUUAGAUUUGAUCUAAAGCAUGUGGGGUUAAAGGAAUUUAACCUAGAUCUGCUUUCGCUAUUUAAAAAUUAUUUUAAAAUCUAUGCAUACAAUCUUACCCAUUUUCUAUUAGUGAUAUCAGAGCC
rnacentral:lncRNA from 1 species